GAAGUGCCCAAACCGUGGAUGCGGAAGGCAGCCGCCCUGUGAUUCCUCUUGCCCUUGACUUUUACACGUUGCUCUGCAAGCUCCUUGGGCCCAGAAUUCGUUGCAGGCCCCAAGUCAGCGCGGCCCGUGACCGCGGCACCACCCUCCAAGCACAGCGUACACGCCCGUCCCCGUGGGUGUCGCCAGCUCUCCCCGGAGUCUCCCUCCGCCCUGGGCUCCUCCUGUCGGGGCGCAGCCAUCUGCUCGGAGGUGCCAGCUCUGGGGAGUGGGGACCCCGCAGUCUCGGCCUCGCGUGCGCCGUCUGAGAGAGAAGAUCGGUGGUAUUUGCUUGGGGAGUUUUGUUUUCAGGGCGUGCGGCGGUUCCUCCGUGUCCCCGUCCUCACCAGCCAUCGCUGAAGGGCACAGGUCCCUCGGGCUCCCGGUGCCGCUGCCCCGGCGGGAAUCCAGGGCCGGGUGGAGACUGCGGCAGGCUGAUCCCCUCGCUCUGUCCGACGACGCCCGCCGUGCGGCCCUGCGCAGAGCCCAGACCCCCGCGAUGGCGGAGCCCGUUGGAGGCCAAGGUCCGGAAGGUACGGGCAGCCCCCGCCUUGGUCCCAAGAGAAGCCGAGCAGAAAACAACGAACCGAACCUGAACAUCGACGCAGGCUCAGCCGGGCGCCACCGCACUUCCCCCGGCCUGACUGCUUGAACCCAAAGUCGACCGGAAUCUGCCUGCAGCCUCCCAGCCUGGGCCCAGCAGGUACAGGAAGGGUGCAGCCUGUCCCACUUCGUCCUGUGCCAUCUCCUCCCAAACGCCAGCUCCGCGACUCCCAGCCCGGCCUGCUUACUCUGAAACCCAGCAGAGGCCCAGGCACACUGACUUUCUGUCGCUGUCUUGGGCCGCCAAUAACACGAUGCCGGGGAGAGACAGACGGGUGGUGAGCUUUGGAUCUUCGGGGUCUCCUGCUGGUUUUGUCCCCCAGGCAGCAGUGUGGUGAGGUGGGACUUUUGGAGGAAACUGGACCAGGAGGACUCAGCUCAUCCACAGAUCGAUCCAGUCAUAGGUUCCUGCUUUGAAGCCAUGAUUGGGUGUGAUGGAAACUCAGGGUGGGACUUAGUCGAAGAAAUUGGUCCUUUAGAAAGUUCCCUAGAUGGACUGAGCCCCCGAGACCUCUGGGGCAGCCGACCACGGACUGAACCCCCGAGACCACUGGAGCAGCUGACCGCUGACUGAGCCCUCCGAGACCAUGAGGCAGAAUAAACCUCUCCUCCAUUAAGUUGUUUUUCUGAGGUACUUUGUAAAGCUCACUAACGCACAUGGUAAUUGGAAAACCAAACAAGUUCGCUGGGACUCCCAGGUCGGGUCCAACAUCAGCUCUUUCGGUGGCAGAGUCACAAAGUAGAGCAGGACAACGAAGGGGCAGACAGACAGACAGCCGUCCCGCCCUGUCCGGCAGCCCCUGCUCUCCAGAGAGCCCGCGGAUCCACGAAUGUGCUAAAUCCAUCCACCAGGGCAGACCACUCUAGAGGCCCCCUCCUACAGCUCACACCUGGUUCCAGGCCCCAGUAUCUGAUCAUCGCCAUGAUACUGAGAGAAAACCAACCACAUUCAAACCAUAGUAACUGUGCUCUGCGUAAGACCAAGGCUCCCAGAUGCCGGGGCGGGGGUGCCGGGGAUCGAACUCAGGACCUUGCACUUGGCAGGCAGAUGGUGGAACCCCUGAGCCAAAUCCCCAGCCUGAUACCAAAGUUUCCAAUCAUUUCGAGGACACAGGGUGAGGUCCUGACGCCGACCCCGCAGACCUGAGUGAUCUGAGCCUGUCCUCCUUCUCCGAUGGCCCCCACCUGCGCCUCUGGCCACCCUGCUCACCGGCCAGAAAAACGAGCACAAGAGAAGCUGUUCGUGGUUGCUUCCUGUCCACCGCCAAACACCAGACACUCCAGCUUCCACAUGGCGUGGUUUUCUGUUCUCUGAGACACCAAAAGUGUAAGGACCUGGCGAGCGACUAAAAGGUGGGUGACAGGAAAGGGAACAGGUCUUCUGAAAGGCAGGGGACCAAUACAUGGAGGGGAGGCGAGGAAGGAGCUGCAGAGGGAGUUAGCGUGGUGUCGGCCCGGGCACCCACGCCCCACGAGAAUGUGGCCGUCGGGCACUGCAGAGAUGGUCUCAUAAAAUCAAAGAAAAAGAAGUUUGGCGUUAGGAAAAGCCCAGGGCCAGAUUAUCCACUCAGAUCUUUACUGCCUUCUCCUUCGGAUCCUCUUCCCAGACACCACAGAUAAUACUCUCUUUCCUGCCCAAACUCCUGCCAGUGUGAGCAGAAGACACAAAAACAUCCCCACCCCGUGGAUACACGACAAGGAGGUGAGAAUUUCUAGACCCACUCAGCCUUGACGGGAAGCAAAACUUUUCUCUCCCUUGCAGAUUUCUUCCCAAGAACGGAAUUUAACCUCACCCUGCUCUUAGCAAAAACAGGAGGCGCCCUCUGGUGGUCGUGGGUGAAUCUGACGAUUAAAAGCACAGAAAUCAUUAGGCUGUUUUUUGAUGCACCUGCCUCACUCUCUCUCUGGGAUCAGGAGAUUAAAAAUCUUCCCGGAGGGCUGGGGGAUUUAGCUCAGUGGUGUCACCGCCUGCCUUGCAAACUUCAGGUCCUGAGUUCGAUCCCCGGCACCGUAAGAUCUCCUGGGACGCUCUGUUUCUUAGUAAUCUGUACAUUGAGUUUCACCAUUUAUAACUCCACCUCGGACAAACAUUAUUAUUCAGUUAGGAGGCAUUCAGACGAAUGGCAAAGUUUCGAGUUAUAUUGAUACCUAUAAGUAUAUAUUUAUACAUAUGAAUUUAUAAUUGUAUAAAUACAAAAUCAUAAAUUUAUAUAUAUUUUAAGGAAUAUAAACCCGUACAUUUUAGUCAUUGCUUUUUGUUUUUGUUUUUGUUUUUUGAGACAGGGUCUCGCUGUGUAGUUGAGACUGACCUGGAACUCACUAUGUAGCCCAGGCUGGUCUCGAAUUCACAGCGAUCCUCCUGCCUCAGCCUCCCGAGUACUGGGGUGACAGGCGUGUGCCACCGUGCCCAGCACAAACCCAUACAUUUUGGGUACCAGGGAUCAAACUCAGGUCUUUGUGCGUGUGAGGCAGGCGGUGGAACCACUGGGCUAAUCCCUGGCUCAUAAACCCAAACAUUUUAAAAUAGAAAUGCAGGGAUGUAUAUAUAAGUUUUAAUUGUGAAGUGCUUUUUAAAAAGUAACUAGAAAACCAAGAAGUUAGCAAGCCUUGGGUACCGACUGGGUGCUACGUUAUCAUCUUUCUUAGCUUUUCCCGACGUCCUGGCCUUUACUCAAGCUUUUUACCCGCAUUUUGCCUGCGGAGAACGUGAGCUGUGUGAGUCACGGAUUAGGAAACUGCACCUGCGAUUUCUACCUGGUAAAACAGUCUCCACGCCACGCAGACGAGCAAAGCGUACCCUGCUAUUUUUUUUUUUCCAUCUCCACGAAAAUCCACGCGUUGCCAUGAGUGGAUUUCUCCUCUUUUUCCUCUUCGUUCGGUCGGCCUGACCCGACGUGGCCCAGUUAAGGACCACGAGUCCUAAACGCUGCAUCUGCCAGUCAGGAGGUCCGAGUGCCUGGCGUUGGUUUUCCCAUUUUCCCUAAAUAAGGCAACUUGGGCCGUGGCUGCUGAAAGAGGCACAGAGGUCUUCGUGCGGACCUUUUCGGUAGCUGUCUGCUUUUUUUUUUUUCUUCCAUGAAACAGGGGCACGCGUGCAUCUCCACAGUCUCGAGGGGCCCUGAGAGUUCCGUGUCCCCGUUUGCCAAGAUGCCCAGCGUCUGAGUGACAGACAGGCUGGGCAUCGCUGGUGCUCUGCACAAAUGCACAGAGCUAGCGCGUGCCGGCACGGAACCACAGCAUAAAAGCUUUCUAAAAAUCACAGUGGCUGUUUUCUUCAGAAAUCCAGGGCGCUGCUGCACGGUGGAGACCAACCCUGUGUGCCCGGAACAAAAUCUCACCCUCCAUCUCCGCCGUGCAGAACCAGCAACAAAAGUGCACAGGAGGGUGACAGUUACGGCCACAGCAACAGUCACAGCCAUCAGGUACAAUUGUUACCUCUGCGGGUGUUAUAGUUACGUCGUUGCAGUUGCUGUUAUUGUUGUAAUCGUUACGGUCCGUCACAGUUAGGGGCCAGAGUUAGGGGCUCUGGGGCCAGAGCAGGAAUAAGGACGGAGGUCAGGAAGGGAAAAAGCUGUACCCAGGAUGAGGGGAGCCAGGGAGAAAAGGUUGAUUUUGAACCAAAGUCCUGAUAAGGAUGAUGAUGCAGGCAGAGGAAAAAGGCUGAGGAGGAAAACCCGAGUAGACGAAAUCAGUAUCUGCUCAGGAAGGAGAAACCAUAAAGUCCUAGGAACUUUGAUGUCUUUAUAUGGGACUCAGGGGUGUGGCGGCACAUGCCUGAGAUCUCGGUGCUCAGGAGGCUGAGGCAGGAGGACCGCCGUGAUUUCGAGGCGAGCCUGGACUGCAUAGUGAAGCAGAGAUGCUUUCUGGAAAAACCACGACCUGCACCUAAAAAUAAACCAAAGAGGCAGCGGGCAUUGCCCCAGAGAACAGCCUGACCCAUCACCCCAGUAUUCUGGGAGGCUGAGGCAGGAGGGUACCAAGUUCAAGGCACAUCAGGACAAGUCAGCGACUGAGACCCUCUCACAAAAACAAAUAAAUAAAAACGAAUUGAUGAAUACACACAUGAUUAAAUGAGCAGGCUAGGGAUGUCGCUCAGCGCAACUCUCUCAGGUAGAGGACACAGUAUGUCACGAUGCAGAGCUCUCACCCUGGGCUUUGAAGUUUCUC
rnacentral:lncRNA from 1 species